rnacentral:rRNA from 1 species
GAUGAACGCUGGCGGCGUGCUUAACACAUGCAAGUCGAACGAUGAAGCUCAGCUUGCUGGGUGGAUUAGUGGCGAACGGGUGAGUAACACGUGAGUAACCUGCCCUUAACUCUGGGAUAAGCCUGGGAAACUGGGUCUAAUACCGGAUAGGAGCGUCCACCGCAUGGUGGGUGUUGGAAAGAUUUAUCGGUUUUGGAUGGACUCGCGGCCUAUCAGCUUGUUGGUGAGGUAAUGGCUCACCAAGGCGACGACGGGUAGCCGGCCUGAGAGGGUGACCGGCCACACUGGGACUGAGACACGGCCCAGACUCCUACGGGAGGCAGCAGUGGGGAAUAUUGCACAAUGGGCGCAAGCCUGAUGCAGCGACGCCGCGUGAGGGAUAACGGCCUUCGGGUUGUAAACCUCUUUCAGUAGGGAAGAAGCGAAAGUGACGGUACCUGCAGAAGAAGCACCGGCUAACUACGUG